GAUGAACGCUGGCGGCGUGCCUAAUACAUGCAAGUCGAGCGAACAGACGAGGAGCUUGCUCCUCUGACGUUAGCGGCGGACGGGUGAGUAACACGUGGAUAACCUACCUAUAAGACUGGGAUAACUUCGGGAAACCGGAGCUAAUACCGGAUAAUAUAUUGAACCGCAUGGUUCAAUAGUGAAAGACGGUUUUGCUGUCACUUAUAGAUGGAUCCGCGCCGCAUUAGCUAGUUGGUAAGGUAACGGCUUACCAAGGCAACGAUGCGUAGCCGACCUGAGAGGGUGAUCGGCCACACUGGAACUGAGACACGGUCCAGACUCCUACGGGAGGCAGCAGUAGGGAAUCUUCCGCAAUGGGCGAAAGCUUGACGGAGCAACGCCGCGUGAGUGAUGAAGGUCUUCGGAUCGUAAAACUCUGUUAUUAGGGAAGAACAAAUGUGUAAGUAACUAUGCACGUCUUGACGGUACCUAAUCUGAAAGCCACGGCUAACUACGUG
rnacentral:rRNA from 1 species